GCCGAGCGGUAUUUGUCCUUCGGGACGGAGAGAGCGGCGUACGGGUGCGGAACACGKGUGCAACCUGCCUUUAUCUGGGGGAUAGCCUUUCGWWWGGAAGAUUAAUACCCCAUAACAUAUGAUACGGCAUCGUAUUAUAUUGAAAACUCCGGUGGAUAGAGAUGGGCACGCGCAAGAUUAGAUAGUUGGUGAGGUAACGGCUCACCAAGUCAGUGAUCUUUAGGGGGCCUGAGAGGGUGAUCCCCCACACUGGUACUGAGACACGGACCAGACUCCUACGGGAGGCAGCAGUGAGGAAUAUUGGACAAUGGGUGAGAGCCUGAUCCAGCCAUCCCGCGUGAAGGACUAAGGCCCUAUGGGUUGUAAACUUCUUUUAUACUGGGAUAAACCUACUUACGUGUAAGUAGCUGAAGGUACAGUAUGAAUAAGCACCGGCUAACUCCGUGCCAGCAGCCGCGGUAAUACGGAGGGUGCAAGCGUUAUCCGGAUUUAUUGGGUUUAAAGGGUCCGUAGGCGGAUCCGUAAGUCAGUGGUGAAAUCUCAUAGCUUAACUAUGAAACUGCCAUUGAUACUGCGGGUCUUGAGUGAGAUUGAGGUAGCUGGAAUAAGUAGUGUAGCGGUGA
rnacentral:rRNA from 1 species